UACGUAGGGGGCGAGCGUUGUCCGGAAUCAUUGGGCGUAAAGAGCUCGUAGGCGGCUCAGUAAGUCGGCUGUGAAAUCCCAGGGCUCAACCCUGGAACUGCAGUCGAUACUGCUGUGGCUAGAGUCUGGUAGAGGAGAGUGGAAUUCCCGGUGUAGCGGUGGAAUGCGCAGAUAUCGGGAGGAACACCAGUAGCGAAGGCGGCUCUCUGGGCCAGUACUGACGCUGAGGAGCAAAAGCGUGGGGAGCAAACAGG
rnacentral:rRNA from 1 species